rnacentral:rRNA from 1 species
GACGAACGCUGGCGGCGUGCUUAACACAUGCAAGUCGAACGGAAAGGCCCUGCUUUUGUGGGGUGCUCGAGUGGCGAACGGGUGAGUAACACGUGAGUAACCUGCCCUUGACUUUGGGAUAACUUCAGGAAACUGGGGCUAAUACCGGAUAGGAGCUCCUGCUGCAUGGUGGGGGUUGGAAAGUUUCGGCGGUUGGGGAUGGACUCGCGGCUUAUCAGCUUGUUGGUGGGGUAGUGGCUUACCAAGGCUUUGACGGGUAGCCGGCCUGAGAGGGUGACCGGCCACAUUGGGACUGAGAUACGGCCCAGACUCCUACGGGAGGCGGCAGUGGGGAAUAUUGCCCAAUGGGCGGAAGCCUGAUGAAGCAACGCCGCGUGCGGGAUGACGGCCUCCGGGUUGUAAACCGCUUUCGCCUGUGACGAAGCGUGAGUGACGGUAAUGGGUAAAGAAGCACCGGCUAACUACGUG